GAUGAACGCUGGCGGCGUGCCUAAUACAUGCAAGUCGAGCGAACGGACGAGAAGCUUGCUUCUCUGAUGUUAGCGGCGGACGGGUGAGUAACACGUGGAUAACCUACCUAUAAGACUGGGAUAACUUCGGGAAACCGGAGCUAAUACCGGAUAAUAUUUUGAACCGCAUGGUUCAAAAGUGAGAGACGGUCUUGCUGUCACUUAUAGAUGGAUCCGCGCUGCAUUAGCUAGUUGGUAAGGUAACGGCUUACCAAGGCAACGAUGCAUAGCCGACCUGAGAGGGUGAUCGGCCACACUGGAACUGAGACGCGGUCCAGACUCCUACGGGAGGCAGCAGUAGGGAAUCUUCCGCAAUGGGCGAAAGCCUGACGGAGCAACGCCGCGUGAGUGAUGAAGGUCUUCGGAUCGUAAAACUCUGUUAUUAGGGAAGAACAUAUGUGUAAGUAACUGUGCACAUCUUGACGGUACCUAAUCAGAAAGCCACGGCUAACUACGUG
rnacentral:rRNA from 1 species